GGUUGGAUGGCCGAGCGGUCUAAGGCGCCAGACUAAGGACCAGCGUCAAUUGGCGCUUCUCUAAUCUUCUGCAGUUACCGUUACCUGCGGUGGUUAUCUGGUCUUUCGGGGCGUGGGUUCGAAUCCCACUCCAAUCA